AUCCUUCGGUUUAUAAGCGUGAUGGUUGGGUGUUCAUGUCCUACACUGCAUGAGAUGUGCCUCCCUCAAACCUUGUUACGACGUGGGCACAUUACCCGUCUGACG